UACGGGGGGGGCAAGCGUUGUUCGGAAUUACUGGGCGUAAAGGGCGCGUAGGCGGUUCGAUAAGUCAGCUGUGAAAACCAUGGGCUUAACUCAUGGCCUGCAGUUGAGACUGUCGGGCUGGAGUGUGGGAGAGGAGAGUGGAAUUCCUGGUGUAGCGGUGAAAUGCGUAGAUAUCAGGAGGAACACCGGUGGCGAAGGCGGCUCUCUGGACCACAACUGACGCCGAGGCGCGAAAGCUAGGGGAGCAAACAGG
rnacentral:rRNA from 1 species